GAGGAACCUCUCCGGGGCUCGACCCCGCGGAUGAAAGUCUGAGCUCGGCUCCAAACUCUCGGAGAGGCAUAGCUCUGCGCACGGGGGCACAGCCCCGGACAGCGGCUGGAAGAGAUGGGGGCAUGAUUCUCGGCGAUGUGGAAGGGAAAAGGGAGAGGUAAAGGGGCCUGAAAGGAGGCGAGGGGCUGCCGAAUGCCAUCUGGGAUGUGGGCUACCCUUGGCCUCUGCUUCCUGCUGCUCUCAUGACUGGUGACUGCUCGACAGCUCAGAGAGCACGGGGAAGAGGUGAAUGAGAGUCUUCAUCAUGACCAUCUGCAAAUGGUCCUUUGGGAUUCCAAACGGCCCCAGAACUGGGUUGAAGGCGAACAAAUUUUGGCCAUCCAGAAUCUCUGGUGUGGACCUGACACGACCCUCCACGGUACAUUUUUGGGGUCUCACACCGGGCCCAAGCAAGAUUCACCGUCCCACACAGGCGUCUGUCCUGGUAGCCGCAGGGGUCGAGAACUGGGCUGCCCCCGGGUUCCCGCACCCUGCUGCCUAGGCAGGCGGGCCGGAGAGCCGGAGGAGGGAUGCAGUGCGGCAGGAGCCCGGGAGAGGGCGGCUGGAGCCUAACCACGGAGCGCCCGGCACGGUGAGGCUGCGGCGCAGUAGUCCGUGGGGCACUCCGCUCUUCACCACCCUGCCCAUCACCGCCCUGCCCAUCGCUACCCAGCCCAUCACCACUCUGAUCAUCACCAACUUGUCCAUCACCAACCUGCCCAUCAGCCCCGUAUCCAUCACCACCCAGCCAUCACCAAUCUGCCCAUCAUCACAGGGCCCAUUAUAAUCCUGGCCACCAUCGCUCCGUAGCCAUCCUGCCCCUGCCUGCCAAGCCCUCUGAAGGGCCACAAACGGAGAUUUUUAGGGGCAUUGCAAAGUUCAGCACAGACCUCCACAGCCGAGCAGCACCAGCUGUUACCCUCAGAUUUCCCCUGGGCAGAGCCGGGGGAGCUUCAUCUCAGUGUGGGAUAGCAGAGGUCACCCACAGCCCAGCACAUCCCACUCUGAGAACUGCAGAUAUGCCACUUCCAAACCACCCUAUGCGUCCUGAAAAUGCAGCGUGUGGGAAUUGAAGAGCGAAGCGGGAAGGACGUUUGGAAGCAGGAGAAGAAAGCAGCAAUGGUUAAAAGCUGAGGCCGGUGCAGAGCGGAAGGGAAGCGAUGCG